AUUCACUUUGUUUUUCUUUUAAGUAAUGUUGCGUACCAAAUGAACUUUGCCAUACAGAAAAAAAUGGACCAUGUAAUGGUAAAAAUGAAGCUACAAAAUGCCCUUCUUAACAUAUGUAUUCAUUGGUGUGCACUUGCCAACCAUGAGCCCAAGGGAUGAUGCACAAGGCCAUAAAUGGAUCAUCCAUCAGUACAAGACACACACUAGACAAACUGAAAGUUGCACUGUCGGCCCUUCCCCAAGAGAGCUGUCAUGUCGGCUCCUGCAUAUUUCAACUUCCAAAGCAGAGGAACGACUUGAUUAGAUUUCUGAAAGCUCGGCAUAGAUAGACCAUAUGGAAUUAAAACCCUAGUUUUGCUCAGUUAUCCACUCAAAGCCACGUAGAUGUUGGUCUUCACCUAUAAAAGAGAAAGGAAACCCAGUUAACAUUAGGAACCUUGAUCUGCUUUUAAUAAUGAGACUUAGGAUGUGCCUGAAUGAUUUGAGGCACUCUGCUACAUGGUACAUACAUGCCCAAAGCGCUGUCAGCCGCAGGACGAUGCGAUGCCUCCUCUUUCAUGAUAGCAAAACAUCUUUAGCAAAGCUAAUCAAUGAAUGUUGUGCUCGGGCAAUCGGCAUAAACAAUAUCUCAGGCAGCUUCGCUUCACCCAAACUUGCCGCAUUACCCUAUUCUACUCCCUCCA
rnacentral:lncRNA from 1 species